UUUCCGUAGGUGAACCUGCGGAAGGAUCAUUAACAAAUCCGUGUCGCGUCGUCGGUCCCGCCGGCGAUGCACAUUUGUUCCGUGUGCACGGUCUGCCCUGCGCACUGGUGACACAUUUCUGCGAAUGUCUGAUCUCAAUUAGUUGUGAAUGCGUGAUAGUCGACUUUUAACAAUGGAUCUCUAGGCUCCUACAUCGAUGAAGAACGCAGC
rnacentral:misc_RNA from 1 species